UUUAUGGAGAGUUUGAUCCUGGCUCAGAGUGAACGCUGGCGGCGUGCCUAAUACAUGCAAGUCGAACGAUGAAGCUUCUAGCUUGCUAGAGUGCUGAUUAGUGGCGCACGGGUGAGUAACGCAUAGGUUAUGUGCCUCUUAGUUUGGGAUAGCCAUUGGAAACGAUGAUUAAUACCAGAUACUCCCUACGGGGGAAAGAUUUAUCGCUAAGAGAUCAGCCUAUGUCCUAUCAGCUUGUUGGUAAGGUAAUGGCUUACCAAGGCUAUGACGGGUAUCCGGCCUGAGAGGGUGAACGGACACACUGGAACUGAGACACGGUCCAGACUCCUACGGGAGGCAGCAGUAGGGAAUAUUGCUCAAUGGGGGAAACCCUGAAGCAGCAACGCCGCGUGGAGGAUGAAGGUUUUAGGAUUGUAAACUCCUUUUGUUAGAGAAGAUAAUGACGGUAUCCAACGAAUAAGCACCGGCUAACUCCGUGCCAGCAGCCGCGGUAAUACGGAGGGUGCAAGCGUUACUCGGAAUCACUGGGCGUAAAGAGCGCGUAGGCGGGAUAGUCAGUCAGGUGUGAAAUCCUAUGGCUUAACCAUAGAACUGCAUUUGAAACUACUAUUCUAGAGUGUGGGAGAGGUAGGUGGAAUUCUUGGUGUAGGGGUAAAAUCCGUAGAGAUCAAGAGGAAUACUCAUUGCGAAGGCGACCUGCUGGAACAUUACUGACGCUGAUUGCGCGAAAGCGUGGGGAGCAAACAGGAUUAGAUACCCUGGUAGUCCACGCCCUAAACGAUGGAUGCUAGUUGUUGGAGGGCUUAGUCUCUCCAGUAAUGCAGCUAACGCAUUAAGCAUCCCGCCUGGGGAGUACGGUCGCAAGAUUAAAACUCAAAGGAAUAGACGGGGACCCGCACAAGCGGUGGAGCAUGUGGUUUAAUUCGAAGAUACACGAAGAACCUUACCUAGGCUUGACAUUGAGAGAAUCCGCUAGAAAUAGUGGAGUGUCUGGCUUGCUAGACCUUGAAAACAGGUGCUGCACGGCUGUCGUCAGCUCGUGUCGUGAGAUGUUGGGUUAAGUCCCGCAACGAGCGCAACCCCCUUUCUUAGUUGCUAACAGGUCAUGCUGAGAACUCUAAGGAUACUGCCUCCGUAAGGAGGAGGAAGGUGGGGACGACGUCAAGUCAUCAUGGCCCUUACGCCUAGGGCUACACACGUGCUACAAUGGGGUGCACAAAGAGAAGCAAUACUGCGAAGUGGAGCCAAUCUUCAAAACACCUCUCAGUUCGGAUUGUAGGCUGCAACUCGCCUGCAUGAAGCUGGAAUCGCUAGUAAUCGCAAAUCAGCCAUGUUGCGGUGAAUACGUUCCCGGGUCUUGUACUCACCGCCCGUCACACCAUGGGAGUUGUGUUUGCCUUAAGUCAGGAUGCUAAAUUGGCUACUGCCCACGGCACACACAGCGACUGGGGUGAAGUCGUAACAAGGUAACCGUAGGUGAACCUGCGGUUGGAUCACCUCCUUUCUAGA
rnacentral:rRNA from 1 species